GGGGAAGGGAUAUUUCAAGUCUUGGUGGUCCCGUGGUUGCGAGAAAACUUUAGCAAGGGUGACUUUACUCCUCUCCCAAGCUGAGCGCUGUGUCAGAAAUUUGCCAUGGUAACCCGUGGCAAUGCUCUAAACUGCCUGGAGGAAUAUUCAGUCUCCCGGGUCCUCCCUACUUCCCUCUUCUGGAACGAAGUGCCAGUGGUCCAGUGAGGGAGAUCUUUGAGAUUGAGACAGCAAGGCUGGG